GCACGUGUUGCAUUUGUUUAUAUGUGAAAUGAACAAGAAAAUAAUUAUAAAUAAACGUGUGAAGGGCCAAUCUCGCGAAGAGUUGGCCCAGUUAAGCAAAACAGAAUUGAUUGACAAAAUUGUGCAGCUGGAGGCGUACAAUUUUCAGCUGAAAAAUCUUUUACAAAAGAAACUGUCCGAGGCGGACAAAAACAAUUCUGAAUAUGCUGAUGUAUUGCGCGGGGCUGACGGAGAUGAGUUACCAAAUAAAGUUGUUUCAGAAACCGUCAAAGAUGUACCUAAAAACAAAGAUAAACAACGUAAGUUUAACUGGGCCAGUGCGCACCAGAGGCAUGUUUUGAUGAAAAUAACGUAUUUUGGCUGGGAUUAUCAGGGGUUUGCUUGUCAGGAGGACUCCGCUGAUACGAUUGAAGGAUAUUUGUUUCGUGCCUUGGAACGCACCUGUCUCAUCGAAUCCCGUGCUACUUCCAACUACCAUCGAUGCGGUCGCACUGACAAGGAAGUGAGCGCCUUCUGCCAAGUGAUAUCAAUUAAUUUGCGUAGCAAGCACUCACCCGAUACUCAAAUGGAGCCAGAGUCGCUAAGUACUGAAAUAGAUUAUUGCAGUCUGUUAAAUCGGGUGCUGCCCAAAAAUAUUCAAUGCGUAUCCUGGAUGCCGUUGCGAAAUCCCGAGUACAGCGCCCGAUUUGAUUGUAUUUCACGCACCUAUCGCUACUAUUUUCCCAAGGGCGAUCUGGACAUUGACUCAAUGCAGCAGGCCUGUCAGUUACUCGUCUGCCAUGGAGACUUUAGGAAUUUUUGUAAAAUGGAUGUGCAUAAUGGCGUUACGAAUUACAUGCGUAAUUUGCAGCACGCAGAGAUAAGGCCAUGUGGCAAUACAGAAAGCCAGUUAGAGCAUGUCUCAGGCUAUAUUAUGUAUUAUCUGGAGAUAAAAGCAAAUGCUUUCCUAUGGCAUCAAAUACGAUGCAUCAUGGCUGUGCUGCUGCUAGUUGGACAAAAGCACGAGCAGCCAUCAAUAAUCACUAAAUUACUCGAUGUGGGCAGCAAUCCUUGUAAGCCCCAGUAUACGCCUGCUAUUGGGCUACCACUGAAUCUAUUCCAUUGUGAAUUUCGAUCGCACAGCACGCGUCAAUCGAACCCUCCAGCUGCGGAUGACGAAAUUGCAAAUUUGUCGCAGAUUGCGAUUGUGGAAAGCGAAAGCGAAAGCCAAAGUGAUCUAACCAAUUGGGUUUACAGUGAGGAGAAUCUACAGAAGCUGAUCGAGAACGUGCAGAGUGAGUGGACGCAGUUCAGUGUCAAGUGCACCAUGAUACGCAAUGUCUUAGUGCAAUUGGAGGCACUCCUUGAGCAGAACUUCAAAACACCGCAGAUUCAAGCACAGGCCAUGCUGCUGCAGGAUGCGGCCAAGCCGCGCCAGUAUCAACCAUUGCUGCAGCGCAAACGAUGUGAGAGCCUGGAGAAUCGCAUUGACCAUUUUGUGAAAAAGCAACGACUGCUUGUAAAAAGCGACACAACGACUGAGACGAGUAAAAGUGAAACUGCUGAGUAUUAAUGAAUUUACUACAGCUUGGUGUGAUUUCGUUGUGGUGCUUAGAUUUGCUGGUUUGUUCCCGUAUGGCUGCAAAUCCAAUCAGUUAUAUCAUCCACUCUUCAUGGCAAACAAACCGCAACGUUUCAGUGCAUGUCACAUACGGAGUCUUGCAUUGCGAAUCAUCAGUCAAAUGGAUCACAUAAUGCCACGCUUUGUCACACUUGGUCGCUUAUGGGAUUUAGGGCCCCUAACCGAAACCACAGUCCAGACCAUAAAAGUACCAUCCCA